ACGAAAAGGAAAAAAAAAAGCCAACCGCAAACAACUACAGGCUGGACUAUCAACACAUGCACCGAAGGGGAAAAAAUAUAUAGUGUCCUGUGUAGGGUCGGCAGGGAACGCAAGCACACGCUAAAGCAAGUUGGGAAAGAAUCCGAGCUAAUCAGCAAUCUCUUUCUCUCUCUCUCCUUCUCUCCCUCUCCCCCUCUCUCUCUCUCUCUCACUGCCCCUGAGAUCCCAGCUCGAAAGAGGUACUCCACAUUUUUUCAUUACCAAAAAUCCGUUGCAAUAAUCAUUUGUUGCUAAUUGAAACCCUUGGAGACAUUUUUCCCCACCCCCUUCACAAACAUGGCAACUUUUAGUAAUGGGAAGCACGUUUAGUUUUAUUUUAUUAAAAAAAAAAUACGGUUAGGAAAAGGCUGAAUCUUUCACCCACGAGAAAUAUCAGCGAGUCAGCCCCCUUCCCCGGGAUGGGAGGGGGGAGUGGGGGGAACGGGACCCCGGUACAGUGAGGGCUUGGGAAAAUUUGGAAUACAUUAUACCGCCUUUGGCAGGAGAAUACUCUCCAACUAAUGGAUUCCUGCUCCUUUUUGUGUGUGUGUGUGUAUCAGUGUGGGGGGUUUCUGGAAAGAGGGGUGGUGGUCGUGGUGGUGGGGAGCCGAGCUUUUAUUUUAAGAAACUGUUAGGGUAGGGAGUGUGUCAUACUUGACAAAUGGAACAAACGCUCUUCCAUUUCUUGCUUGUCCUUGCCUUAAAACAGGAAUUAAGUUAACCACAGUGCUGCAUGUUAAUUGCAUGUUUACUGGGCUAAUGAAAAUUACAAAAGGGUUUUGCCACCUCGAUCGGUGAUGAAAAAGUAUGAAGGCGAUUGUCAUUGCAGCCUUCGGGGAGGGCCCGGGGGGUGGGGGGGAAGGACCGGGCACGAACAAUAUUGAUCAGAAGAAGGAUAAAUCUUUUAACUGCUUGUUAAUACCAUAAAUAUGGUCUACACAAGUUUCCACUCUUGUUAAGUCUAAUCAGUACAUGGAAGAUGGAGACAUAGCCCACUUGAAUGAAUUUUUAUUAUUGCCAGAGGGGUACUUGCAUCUGUGGGCUCCCUCCCCUCCUCAAUUUGAGCACCCCCCUGCCCCCCCUUCCAAAAUCCCCCCUUGCACAGGAGGAUCGUGAAGGUGUGCAGAAAGCACAGGAGACAAAUCCAAGCUUUUUGUCCUUUCUUCAUUUUCCCAAAAGCUCCUUUAUUUUGUAAAGCUGAACGGGUCAUGGCGGGGAAAGCCUAAAGGGGGGGACACCCCUGCCAGACCCCCCCUGGCCCCCCCUUUUAUUCUUGAGAUCUCUGGAUGAAAGGCUGACCCAGUAAUUCAGUUUGAUGAUAACCAUUUUCAUGCUUGAAAACAAUCUGCCAAAUUAAACCUAAAUGGAAAGAGCAGUGGGAAAGGUAGUGAGAGCAGGGCGUUUUGAAAUCCCCCCCACCUCUCCGAAAGGGAUUAUUUGGCCAAAGGAGGAGGGAAAGGCAAUUAAAUAGACUAAAGAUGAUUUAAAUCCUAACCAAAAAUAAUUCCAGGGAGAAGUUUGCCCCCUCCGGUGUUGCCCAGCCCUGGAUUUGAAAACUUUGGCCCAACUUGUGGCAAUAGCUACAACUUUGCUCCGCAGGGGUCAGAGGUGAGGGCUAUUUUAACCCUAAAAGCCUGCGAGUGACCAAGGUUGCGGCUGGGCUCGCAGCACUAAUAGCCAUAAUUACCUCCUCCCCUUCCAGGGACAUUCCUCGCAGCAGCAGUGUUAGAAGCCGAAUUGAAGAAAAUCCUGGAGUUGAACAUAUCUUCGGGGGUAAAUAACAGCAAUAUGAAGGAAUUUCAGAGCUCUCCCUUUCGCUUGGGGGGAUUGAAGCUUUUUUCCUUUUUUUUCCCCCUCUUUUUUUUCCUUUUUUCCUCCUUCCCCCCCCCUCCCCCCCCGCCUUGCCAGCAUUCCCAAGGCGCUGGGUCUUUGUCUUAGAAGGAAUGGAGUGUCUGAAUGGUGUGAAAGGGACAGAGAGGGUUGCUUCAAAUCGAUUUUACUUGUCCUCUCUGUCUUUUCGGAUCAACGCCCUUCAAUGGACACAUAGGUGCUCUUUCAACCAAAAACUUGUGCAACAUUUUCUGCCUGUAUUGGUGCUAAAUACAAUAAAUGCUGGGCAGAUUUUUUUUUCUUUCUUUCCAAAGCAGAAAGCACCCUAAUUAAAUUGUUUUAUAUGGACAGUCAAGACAGACCAAUUAAGUAUGCAUUAGUAUAAAGAUAUAUUCGAGAGAUAAGCGCUCUAUAGGAGCCCUGUCUGGGCAAGGUGUGGAAACUGUCCUCUCGAAGAGAGCCUGUGAGCAGGGUUUCAUAUGGAUUUUUCCCCUCCAUUGCCUCCUAUACUCGAGUAACGGGCUGAAUAAGUUAGAGAAAAGCCAUUAGUGAAAGUGGUUUCUAAACAAAGUUAACAGGUGGAUGUAGCUGGUUUUACAUUUGAAUAACAGUCGCACAUCUGUAAUACACAGCCCCGGAUUUGUGCAGCGCCUGUGCAGGCAAUGUCCAUUUGCAGAGACAAACGCCUUCGACCUAGAGCUGAGGUGCAAACGCACACGCACGGGGAUAAAAUAAAUAUCUGGGCACCUCUGUGAGCUGCAGGACACGAUGUGAGCGAGCACACAGAGACGAUGCAGAUAUCACUGUGUGGCCAUUGUGUGGAGGCACCCAGGCUGCCUCGGACAGGCACCCACAGCAGGCACUGCUGCCUCGGACACCUCAGCGGGCACAGCACACUCCUGGGGUAAUUGCAAGGGGAGGUAUUGGCUUUCCCAGGAGUGAAAUAGCAGAUCAGGAUAAAACACACACAAACACACGCGAACUUCUCUGGCUGCCCAUUUUAUCACUCUGGGAAAGCUCUCGUUAUGGUUAACCACAGGAAACGGGCUUUAAGCUCUUCUCCAUUCCCAUUAUUAUUAUUAUUAUUAUUUUCCUUCACUGAAGCUUUUCCAUGUCGUUCCAAAAAACCACCCCAAACAAAAAAGACCCAGACAAACAAACAAAAAUCCCACAGAGCCCCCAGCAGCCCUGCCUCAGCCUGGUCCUGGGGCAGGCAGAGCCGCGGGAUGCGAUGAAGAGGAGGGGAGAGGCGGGCUGGGAGUUGCUGGGGCACCCUCCAUCCCUGGGCACAUCUUUGGCACCGGCUGAGGCUGAGCUGGGGGAGCCAGCCCUGUGCCCGAAGAUGCUGCAGGGUGGCUGCGAGCGGGGAAUCGCCCUUUCAGUGCCGUGACACUGCAGCGCAGAGAGCGGCCGGGGUUUUAUGGAGGGGUCGGGGAAGAGGGGAUCGAGGGGUUCAGGGAUGCAGGGCAGCGCUGCGGGGGCUGCCCGCUUGGAUCCCCAUUUUCCAGCAGCGCCCUGCGUGUGUCAGCCCAUCCCAGGGAUGUGGGAGACGGGGAUGAAUAAGGCAUUCCUCGCUUAGGUGCUUUAAUGGCACGGUAAACAGGUUAGAAACAGACGUUUUUAGAGACUCAGUUUUUCUUUAUUGGUCACCUUCGAGGAUAAAUCAUAACAGACAGUAUGGGGGGCAAAGAAUUCAUCUAAAGGAGAUCUCAGCAAGUCACUACCCGGACAAUAGUCCACCUCCUGUUGGGUUGCGUAUUGAUCAGGAGAGGAGCUGAGGAUGUCGCCACACUAAAUAUUUACUGAUCACACACAAAUAGCCGCGACUUGAACGAUUUUCUCCUGUGAGGAGAGCAGAGAGAGAAGGGUAAAUCAUUUUAUUAGUGUGUAUAAAGCAAAGAGCACACUCUGGCUUGGAGUGUUUUAAAAUGUGUCUUCAGCUGGAUGAAAAGAGUUAGGGAAAUCGAUAUGGAGUGAUUAGACGAACCAGUCGUGUCAAAGAGAGAGGCUGUGAAUUUCAUGGAUUUGGUUAUACCGGGAGGGGGAAAAUAUACCGAGAGAUUAAAGGGAGGAACCCAUUGUAGCAGAGCCAAUGAAAAAAUAAUAUCUAAUCAGAGCCGGCAAAGGUAGGGACGGGAUAAGACCCACAUUUCUAAAGAAUCACAUCAGCUGGAGAGGGAUCAGGGACACAGAUGAAAGAGGCAAACGGGGGGAGAGCUGGAGAGUAGGAGCCUAGAAAUGCUACAGAGCAAAUCCAGGAGAGGCAGAGAAAAGUCGCCUCUGUGGAGCAAAGCUGAGAUACCACGAAAAUGGGGACAAAAGGCUCAGGAGCGAGGGAGAGGGCUGGAGUGAUCGGGCGCCUGCCUUGGAGGUGAAGUUGAGGGGUGCCCAGCCCGUGUACCCACCAGGCAGAGAGGGCUCUGACAGCACAUCCAGCUCCCAUCCGAGGGGUUUAAAUCCUUCUCCUACAAGUUUGUCCUCCCCUCUCCUUCCCGCCCCCCUCCCUCCCCACAAGCAAAUGUGGUGAGUAAAAUGGAUUUUAGCGUUUAACCACCUCAUUUUAUCCACGUAAUGACAAGGCUCGUAAUAUGUAAUCUACAGAUUACUGCCAUUCGAGGGUGACCACAAGUGGCAUAGGAAAAAAUUUAAAAAAACAAAAAAAAUUUCAGCAUUUCUGCAAAUGACAAAAUGGCUAAAACCAGCCCUUGCUUUAAGUAUUGAAGCUGGGGAGUUGCUGCUGCAGGAUUUUAUCGGUUGUAGGGAGCAAUUUAGCCGUGGCUCAGGUACAGCCCUGGGGUGUCUCGGCGGAUUAAAGAAAACUUUGCUGGAGACAAGCAAAUAUCUGAGUGCCAAAGGGCAGAAAGCUGGGACUAGGGCAGGGCUCUGCCAUGCGACAUUGAAAUACGUUCUGUGGGGAUGCUCGGGAUUAUGAUUAUUAUUUUUUUGCCUCGAAUCCGUGAUGUUUGGCCCGUGUUCACAUGCUACCUUCUCUCCGCGUAGUUUUCUUUAGCAGAAAAUAGGAUGCGACUGCAGAGAACUAAGUCAAAGCAGCGAGAGAAAGUUUGUACCGCACUUUAAAUGAUGCUGAUUGCUGGGAGGGAGGAAAGGCAUCUCAAGCUAGGAACCGAGGAGUAAAACUGAUGUGAAAACAGCUUUUCACUUCUCCUCCAAGUGCUAAUUUUGCUACUGUAAACAAACACUGAAGUUAGAAACAGCUGCAAAUAGCCUGCCGGGCACCCAGGGCUCAGGGACCGGAGGGGGUUGACUUUUGUUCAUCUCUCGGGCUGAAUUUUCCCCCAGCUUUUCUUUUUUUUUAACCCCGAAAUCAGGGGCUGAUGCUGAUUUCAGUCGUGGAGAAGGGACAGAAAGUUAGGCACACUAAGAACAUUUCAUGCGAGCCUAUGGAGUGCAGGCAGCUCGGCUGGAUCUCUAAUGCAACAGGAAACCUCGGGACAGACUCAGCCUAAUUAACAGUUUUCCAUAGCUGAAGCGAUUUUUAAGAAUCCCAGUGGAUUAGCCCAAUAUGUUCAGGUGUGAGGCUACGAGGGCCUAUAACUCCUUUCACUAUAAUCUUAUAACCUCCUUACCUAAUUCCUUAGAUUGCAGAUAGGAAGAGUCUGACCCUGGAGGUCGUAAAGAGCUGGGUUUCAUUAACCCUUCCCUCCCCGGCGCCGCUCCAAGGUUAACUGCGCCGGGCUGUGUGCUCGGGGGAGCGAGGGAGGGCGGCCGGGAGAAAGGGAUUUGCAAGAGGGGUCGAUCCGCCGGGAGGGCAAAGCUUAAAAUGAUUUUUGCUCCCUUCAUUCCCUCCCUUCAGUCAAAGGAAAGAUGGAAAUGGGGAACUUUUCUGUUUCCUAUGCAUCCGGAGGUGUAUAAAUGUACGGAUGUUUGUGAGGGAAUUCAUUCCCUUCACAACAUUUCAUUAUUGUUUAUUAUUUUUAAUUUUUUUUUUUUGUUCCAAACGUGGAGGAAAUGAAACAUUCUAGAACCAUCAGCAAAAAGCAAAGCAAUCUCCAUCUUUAGGACCAGCACCAAUCUCUUGAGCUUCUUGUCCACAGCAGAGCUGUAAUCUUUAAAGGAAAAAAAAAAAUUCUAGAGAAGCUUCUCAGACUGUAUUUGCCUGGGAACACACCUGGUUUAUAUUUUAAUAGGUAGUUACAUUGUAUUGAUUCAGGGUACAUCAUUGAUGUUGAAAGUUAAUAACUCUCAAAUUAUAUCUAUCUGCCUACAUACAUAAUUGCAUACACAGUGUAACACUGGAGGAAUUUGCAUUUUGCAGCACAUUCUUUGUUCUUAAAUCUUUUAACACACUGAGUUGUUCCUUUGAAGAAAAUGUUAUUGAACCACAUGUUUAAGGAAAAGAUGCUUCUAAACUAUAUGUUUAAGCAAUGAAAUUGUUGAGUGAAAUACAGAUUUCUUUGUAUCUCACACAAACCUUGCCACACGCCAAUCUUAACCUACACAUCGAACUGCCUUUUUUUUCUUUCUUUCUUUUUUUUCCCCCUCCCAGUUAGAAGGCAGAAAUAUGUGAACUGCUGAGAGAGGUGGGUACUUUUUGGUAAGUAUGUUUAGAUAUGAUCUUCAGAUACAUUUAUUGUACUUUCAAAUUCUUGGGAUACUAAUUGAGCUAGCAAACAAUAUCCCAGCUGAAUGUCUCAGCUUCUUCCCUAUUUAACAGGCUUUAAUGUAGAAGUAUAUUGUAGCCAUCCUUCUACUAAACAAUGUAGCUGAGGAGUCAGCAAAAAAUAAAAAAAACAUGUUAAAACCAAAUUAUAAUUGCUGCCUUAUAUCUGACUCUUCUUCCUUUCUGCAGUCCUAAUGAACUCUUUAAAGUUUUAUUUAUUUAUUUUUUUAUUUCUGAGUGACAGAUCAAAAAUAAUUAGCAGAAUCAGAAGCAGCCGGGAAGCUUGAAAUAAUGUGUCUAAAUAUUUCAUAUUGCUACUUAUAAUACCAGCCCUUCAGCUGUAAAAAGGAACCAUUCCCUAUUUAUUCUGUGGUGGUUUAUAAAUACAGAAGGAUAGAUUCUUUUUUUUUCCCAGGGCCUGCCUCAACGAUGCCAUAAAUAGAGAUUGAGCUAUCAGGAGGAAAAAAAUAAAAAAGAAUAAAAUAAAAGCAAAGCCCUGGACAGGAAUAGAGACAGACAGAUAAAUGUAUAACUGCAUCUGAACAAUGUUACGUAGCACAUUCGGAGUUGGUAAAAAAAAAAAUUAAAUCUAUCGCAUAUUUAUAACCUCAUAAUUAAAAUACAUUCUUAUCUCUCUCCUCUGAAAGGUUGCAGCUUUCUUGGAAGUAUUUUGAGUGCAUAUUUUAAACUCCAUGUCUCGAACUGAAUUAAGAUGAGCUGUUUUGCCCAAGAGUAAAACCUUUGUUUACAAUUUAAUAUUUAACUUUCAGCUGCCUACCCAUUGCCAUAUCAUUUUCUUUAGAUUUCACCUCCUUACAUUUGCAGGCUUUAUUUAAAAUGAUGUUAGUUUAUAUCAAAUCCUAAUUUCUUAUCGAAAGAAAUGAGUUGAUAUAAUCCAAAACAGUCGUCCUGGUCUGACGGAGGUAAAUUGGAUGAGAAUCUUUCACAUUCAAAGGGUUAAAGCUAAAGCAAAAACUUUAAAGCAAAGAGAUACCAGCAAACAGUGAAAAAUAGUACAUCUGCUCUCUCUUGACAAGCUUGCAUUAUAUCACAUGUAAGGAAGCCCAAAUUUUUGAAUCUAAGACCAGUUUUAGUUUUUAAUAGGAAAUAAUUACAUGGAACUUUAUUUCCAGAGAGAAUGUCCCUUCCAGCUACAGUGUUUUGCUUUGAUCUAAGUAUUAACUGGUAAUAAAAUAACCAUAUUUUGGAUCCUAAGCAUAUUGAUGCUUAGAGGAAUGUUAUGCUUUCAAUCAAAUUUUAACUUUAGAUUAUCCGAAGGUAUUCAUCCUUCUUUUGUCAGAAACCAAUUUGCUCUCUUACUCCUACAGCUACUCACAUGUGGUUUGGUACACUUUGUUAUUUUAUAGUGGAAUUUGCACUGUUGAGGUGGAAAACUUUUAGAUGGAAUGAGAUCAUGUUCCAGCCUGGCAAUUUGGGCUGUUUCUCAUACAGAUCCCCAGCCCAGCCCUUCUUUACACUUGUUGUGCACCACCACCAUUGCUCACCUCUGAGGGCGACCACCGCCUCAGGAUUUUGUUUUAAAUAUUCAGAUUUUAAAAUUUAUUUAUUUAUUUAUUUUUAACCUGGAAAAUCAAUCAUUUGGACCCAUCCUGAACAAUUAACCUCCCCUUUAUAUUAUAGCCCCAAGUGCAGUACUUCAUAAAGACAUGAAAAGGACAUCCCAGUCAGCAGGACCCGAGCCCAGGCUUGUCACAGAGUAUAAAGGGAGAGAGAAGGGGAGUUUUUAUCUCUUUGCCCCGCCAAUUCUUAAUAGUUCUAAGUUUCAGUGUGACAAUAAAACAGUUUUGAUAACAUAGCUCAUGGGUUUCUCUGCCACAUAAAGUUUUCUUAAUAAUAAAAAAGAAGAAACUUUAUCCCUGCUAAAUUAAAAUAGGGCAGAUGUUGGAUAUGGUUCAUAUUAGGCAGCCUUUCACCCCUUUGCCCCUGGCACUAAAGUUCUGACUUUUUCUUUCUACUAUGUCUGUUUCUAACUGAAAGGUAUUAUUCCUGCCCUGGCUCUCUUCUUCUAUUUAUUUUUUCAGUGUCUAAAAUUAAACCUAUUCAUUUAGUAAUAUACAUUCUAUUUCACAUUGCUAAACCUGGCCAGAGAGGGGAAACGCUUUCCAAAAAAGUGAUGCACCACUGACCUUAAAAGAAAACAUGAAGCAGGCAAAGCUGUUCUUAAAAGGUUUAUUUCUAGAGAAUUUUGUAGCUCUGUUGACAUUAUAGGGAUAAUGGCUGUAUUGCAAUGGGCUUUCAAGGCCCAAGAGGUUUAUGUUUUCUUCUGACCGUAAGUCUAAUAAAAUUUUAAAGGUGCACAAAGUCUCAUCACUUUAGAUAUUUAAAACUAGUUUGAAAAAUCUCUUGGGAGACAUAUAUUAUAGUGGAUAGCCCCACUGAGAAAGCAGGGGAUAGACAAAAAAAUACCCUGAGUCCAAACCCAAAUAAACCCCCCCAGUUUUUUUCAUGCUAGCUCUAUGAAAAUCCUGGCUAUUAAACUCCCAAGGAUAGUACAGCUAUUUUCUGCAGGGCUCUGCAGAUAGAAUUUAUUGUCCAUUUGGAAUGAUCAAGUUUAGGCUAAUAAAAGGCCCUCUGUAAGCAGAAAUGCCCAAGUUGAUGUUUGGCAGAGUUUUCAAUGGUGGAGUUUAUACAGGAUAGGGGCUCUGCACUAUUUGAAAUAACUCCUAUCCCAGCAGCUGAGGAUGAUCUGACACACAAGUAAACGUUAGCAGGCAGUGACUGAAGGUUAAUCAGCACUGCUCUCUGAGCUGGGUGCUUGAAAGCAGGAAAAAGUGAAAGCUGCUUUCUCUAGCCCUUCCCUAUGCUAAGGUGCUGCUAACUUUUAUGAUUUUUUCCCCCCUUCCUCUUUUACUAUCUGUCUUUGUGCCUGAGGGCCAGUGAAAGAACACUGCAGAUUCUAGAUUGCUUUCAGAGUUUCCCUUUGCUGAUGAUGGAUUACCAUGUCAAUUUAAACGGCAUAGGAUUAAUUUGUUUCAAUGAUUUCUCUUUAGGCUGAAUGCCAGUCUUUUUUUCUAUCUCUCUCCUUGCUCUUCAGAAAAAAAUAAUAACAAUAAUAAUAAUAAAUCCUUAAACCCCCCAAACACUUUUGAGAUCCCAUGUUAAAAAGACAAUAAUAGAAAUAGACAAGUUAGGUGUAAUGUUGCAACACAGUUGUAGGUUUGAGUGUUUUUAUCUCGUUCUGAGGGGCUGCAGCAUACAGUCAGUCACAUUAAAAUGAAAUUGGAUCCAACGUUUAUUCAAUAAAUACUUGUCUUGUAGGUAAUCCAGAACAGAGUGCUUUUGACACAUAAGGACUUAAUUUGUCUUGGAUAACAAGUUAUUAAUAUGGCACAUUUAAACUUGCCACCUACAAUAAGGUCAUUUAGAUCUAUAAUACGACUCACGAGAGAACUUCAUAAAGCCAGAAACAAAGUUUGAAACUGCCUCUGAGGCGCGGAGCAGACGCACGGCUCACGGUUUGCUCUUUUCAGAAAGUUCAGAGCAAGUAGGAGCCACCCAAACCCAAAUGGUGUGCAUCUGCUCCUCUUUGAAAGGCAAACGUAAAUGGAGUAAGGAGGGGAGAGGGGAAAAAAAAAAAAAAAAGAGGAACCCAAACACACAUUUUUGAAUGAGUAAGCUUUAAAGCUGUGCUGCGUCUGCUCGCAAACUCAUUGCAGCUUUGAAAGUGAAAAAACAACAUUUGGUUCAGAGUGGAAAUUCGCCUGCAUUUGCACCCUACCUCUUCCAUGUGCUUCACAAUUUACUCGCUUUUAAUAAUAAGUGAGGAAGUUGGAACAUAAUCCACCCAUAAAUGUUACUGCUGUAAUUUGACUGCUCUGUGUUUGUUCAUGCAUUAGUUGUCUAUGUAGAGCGAAGUGGGGAUGGAUGCUGGGGAUCCCCGUGCAGCACGAACAAACAGAGCUGUUUGGGAUUUCAACACCCAAACAUCCUGCAGUUGUUUUCAGCUUUAGUUUCAGACCUGUCCUAACCCAGUGGUGCCUGCAAGAGGUGCAUCAGGAGGGGAAUAUUGUGGGAAUGCUGCUCGGGAUGUGUUUGGUGAGUGGCAAUUCGGUCUCCACGCUGUGUCCCUGAGCUUUGUUAUUCUGCUUUUCUGUACUGAGCUCCUGGUUGCUCUUGUCCUGGCAGAUUCUGUCUCUUUAAGUAACUAAAUCUCAUUUUUAAGCUAUUCCUGGGAAAAGGAUGUUACACAUGAGUAGAAAAAUGCAGGCAAGAAAGGCUAAUUGAAUGAAAAGGGAGAAUUAGGUUAAAAAUAGAGUACAAUCUAGUAUCACAUUUUCACUAGUGUAACCUGAAAUGAAGGUGUCUCCAAGUCCCCAGUGAUGCCAGAGUGUUUAGAUGUUGGGCACAGAUGGAGACACCUAUUGAAAUGUGUCUGAAGAAGAUUAAUAGGACUUGUCAGUGUUGGGAAAGCACUGCUUUGCUGUAAAUUUCUACUAGCACAAGAUGAAUUACCGAUGAAUGCUCAGUUAUCAACCCCAUCACUAUCAUUGGACACUAAAUCAAAUUGAGCAGUUAUCUACAAUCAGAAAAUUUCUUUUAAAAGUAGGCAUGCACCUUUAGGCUUAAACUCUUUAAUAAGACAAUAUCCUCGAUGGUAUGUGUGUGUUCACUAAAGGAUAUGAUUAAAAGUUUCUGUACAAAAAGCUUCUGUUCAGAAAUGAACUCCAAGUUCAGUGUGAAAUGAGGGUUGUCAAACAAUAGAAGAUACUCAGGAAAUGCUGGUUAUAUAGUACAGAGUUCUGAUGGGUUCUGAUCCAAAAUGGAUUUUCAUGAGUGUCUUUAGAUUUUGGACCCAUCCCUAUUUAUGAGAGGUUUUUUCAAUCUCUGCUCUCCCCUUAUUUAUGGUCAUGAUAUACCCACCCCUUCUCUCUACCUGAAAGACUGAGCAUCCAAAUCAUACAUUAAUGCAAAACAGCCAUCAUGACUCAGGAUAUAUGUAUAAUAAUGUUACCACCCCCCAACAUAUUUAGGAAAUAACAACUUAAUAUAAUGAACUACGUGAUGAAAGAGUCAGUGAAUAAUAUUUUAGCUGAGAAUAUUUCUUUCUCUCCUUUAUGAAAGGGGAAACUGUCACAAGCAAAACUACCACAAGCAUAUACCAGCCCACUCCUGAAGAAUAUUAUCUGCAUUUACAAUCUGAUGCUGCUGAAGACAAUGAUAUUAAAUAAGCUUUACAUACUUUUAGUUUCUAGGAUUUCUUUCCCUCUCACCCAGACACUGCGUACUAUAUCCAAGGAGAUUUAUCAUCAUGUGUUUUCCAAAGUCAAUUUUUCCCUUUUUUUAGAGACAAGGGCAGUCAUUUGUGUUUAGGGGAGGGAGACAGGUACAGAGCCUUUAUCUGAUCUGCGUCCCCAGCCACCACCACUUUCUUAAUCGAUGGCAGAUCCCCACUCCGGAGGAUCUGGCCCUAUCUGGGUUACUUCUUAGCCAAGGAUUGUUUCCUUCCCUUCAUCUCCUCAUGUCUCACCUGUGGUGCAUGUUGCUUUUUGAGAAGGGAAUAAUACACUGUUUACCACACAGCCCAGUUUCAAAGCCUUUGUGCGUUUCUCAUCUCCAGCCAAAGCUUAUUAUUUACCACCCUAAAAAUUCACCAGGGUAAGGGAUAGCAGAAGUUGUUUUCUUCAUUUUUACACCCCAAUUUUCACACAGCAAAUGCCCUGCAUUAGGACCAGAUCCCACUCAGAUGGAAGUUAUUAACUUUCAGCAGAAUGGGGAUGAUUUCAGCCAGCCACAGCCUGUGCCCUUCGAGCACAGUCGCUUUGCAGCAUCCCUGUGUUUAUUUUUUUUCUUUGGAGGGCAUGAUUCUUUAAACAUAUUUAUUUUACACAGAGCAGCAGUAGAAUCCUAACUUUUUUUUCCCCCCACAAACAUGUAAAGAGAAUAUUAAUAGGGAAUAUUAACAGAGGUGAGUGCAGCAUGAAGCUAGUUAGGUUGUAGUAGCUGAGAAAUAUGAACUAGUGAACAUAAUCCAUAAACUCCAUUUGGUUACUAUAAUACUCCAAUCUGUAUUUAUUACAACCCCACUCUGAUGCUUAUACAACUGCAAUUGCUAGAUUUAUACACACUAAUGAUUUCACAAUAGGAAAAACCUGUGUCUUUAUCUUUCUUUUCCUGUCCAAAAUAACCCCUUCCACAUAUACUUCAGGCUUCUCCGGACCUUGUCUGGGUUUAAUCACAGGCUUUGGGACAAAAUGUGCAUUAUUAAGAAGUAUAAAUAUUUUCAGAAGCAAUCAAAGGGUUGAAAGAUUGAUUCGGCAUGUAGAUUGGAUUUAAUUCGAAGCAGCUUUGUUCUAAUGAGGACUACUGGGAUACAAAGACGGCAGCCGCUUAUGGCCACCAGUUGGGAACUCCGACUCGCUGCAGCAACCUGUCAAGAAUUCCAAGAAACUGCCAGGGUAAAAUUGCCUGCAGGGUACGUUUGCUGAAGCCUGUUAAUUCCUCCUGAGGUCAGCGGGUACCGGGUGCUGGGCAGCACAGCCUCUCCUGGCCGGGCACGGUGGUCGCGUGGGCUCCGGCUGCUUCCCAAGAGACAGGGACAGUAAUGAAGAACGUGGGAUUUCCCACAGGAAUUUGGAAGAUGCCCAUGUCUAAGACAAUGGUGAGGAUUGGGCCACAAUCCAGAUGCAGCCUUGAUUCCUUCAUCCAAGUAACCCUGUGCUGACCCACGGCUGCUGAUGGAUCGCAGCGACGUGGACCUUCCUCCCUCCCUCCUCGCUGCCCUGCAUCAGAUCACCAGGAGGACCUGAGAGUACUAGAUGAACCAUCACAAGGCCCUGAUUGGAAAGCCUGGGGACCAAGCACUCAGGGAGGUGGCUGAUGCAGCUGGUUCCCUAGCCCUGGGCUGUGGCUCAGCUCUUGGUCAUGGCACAAGCCACCAGAGGCCAGAGGUGGGGACUGUUUCUGUCUUGGCUACUCCUCAUCAGUGCUUUCAGCUGCAGGAAGCCCUGAGAAACAAGGAAACAUGAGUGCACCACCAGGGAUUUGCUCUUCUCUACACAUGAAGCACAGCACAAAGUUCCACCCUUUGCUUCUGCAGCAAGUUCUUGUUACCCAAUUCCUGCUGACAGCAGAGGAAGAGGCACAAGUCAGCUCAGAAAAUGAACAAUUGGAAGGUGAGUGAAAAGAAUAGUAAACACAGGCCAUUCAUGUAACAGGAUCCAAUUCAUUUUUAUGCCAGGGAGAUUUUUUAAAUGGGACUUCUCCCAGUGGAGAGAUCACCAUGCUCAAGGCCUGUUUCACUAUAAAGACAAUACAUAAUUAUUCUGGGCUUAUUAUUAUUUUUUAUCACUCUUUUUCCAGUUGCAGGGAGUGAGGGCAGAGAUGAGAUCAGGACCCAGUUUAUUGUGCAGCACACAGGGUUGCAGAAUUCUGUGGAGGCAGGUAAAGUCACCCAGGCUGAAGGUUCACGUGACAGGUCUGAGAUGGGAGAAUCCAUCAACAACAAAAAUGGGAACUCAGCCUCCUGAGCUCCUCAGUUCUGGGCUCCUGCUUCUUGUUGCUUUCAGCAUCUUUUCCUUCCACACUUAUUUUGAAUCACUGAAAUGAUGAAUUGAAAAAAUGUCAUGUCAUUUGAAGCACUCUUUAUUGUAUUUAUAGGAAACAGAUUAUCUGUUCUCUGAGGACAGUGGAAACCCAGUAGGAUGAGCUCAUCUGGAGAAAAUGUAGGUUGGGUGUGACAGAGAAACUUGUGUUUUAUACUGCAGUGACAUCUUAAUUUCUGGUUUUGGUAUGACAGACUCAGUGAUACUGAACCAUCCUGGUUCCUGCUUGCAGGCUGGGAUCAUGAGUUGGGCUUGGAAGAAGAAACUUCUAUGUGGAGAUGUGACUGCAGUGUCAAUACUGUGCCAGGGUAAGAGAAUUUUUGUUUAAUUCAGGGUGUAUACAAUAUAUAAAGUCCAUACAAAGUCUGUUGUUCAUCCCAGCCUAGUUAAGCUGCAUUUGACCAUUACUUGUUCAACCCAGUAAAGAGUACCUGGAUACCACAGCAACACCUGCUCUAUUUAUAUAUUAAGAUUAUUUUGCCAGGUCAGCCCUUUAGGAUUUAACAUUUAAUUCAUAAAGGAUUCUAUAACACAUGCCCAGUUGAGCUCUCUCUCUACUUCCUGAUGAUUUGGGUGAUUUUCUCUAGCCAAUUUAUAUUUUAAUUAGUUGUAACACUUUACUUUCUAAUUUGAACAACCGAGACUUAAAAAAAUAAAAAAAAAGCUAAAAAAUAACUCUCAAAGUCUGAAUGGAUACUCAUUAUAAUUUUCUGUUCAGUAUUUGUGGGUCCUGGGUUAUCUUAGGUGAUAUUUUCAUGUUGACAGCUCUGUGUUAGUUCUGCUCAGACAGAAGGUAGUGACAAUGGAUCAUGCGUUAGAGGUUUCUUUACAGAUGAAACCUAGAGUGUCCUAAAAUCCAGUAACUACUCAAUACCAGCAACUUCCACACCCCUCUGUGCUCCUACCAUUGCUUUGCACCAAUUUAUUUAUUCGUUUGGGCUUUAAGUACUCGGACACAUUCCUUCUUGCUGCAACAGCAGGGGUACAGGAAGGGGUGUUUGAAACCACGCAGUCAAUUCCUCCCUGGAUUUCAGGAGGAGUUAUUCUUGUCUCAGAGAUGACGCAUUCAAAUAUCCCUCUAUGGAUUCCAGGUGAGUUAGUCACAUUUAGAUGCUUCCAAGUAAUACACAGAAAGGUGGUGAGAAAAUGAUGAGUCUCUGCCUAGUCACAAAAAGGAAAGAGCUCAGAAAAGUAGAUCUGAGCAAAUUAUAUGUACUAACCCUCAAAAUAUUCUAAAAAGACCUGGGGCCAAAGGGCUAUUACCUUAAAAACAGUAGGGAGGCAUAGUAUUUACUUUACUGACUGACCCAUCAGCUGCUCUCUGUCCCCAGAAACAGUUCAGGAAAUAACUGGAAGUAUCUGAAGAUGUAAAAAGGAUAAUUAAGUUUCAUUGUGGAAAUAAGAGGGUAAUCUGUCCAGACAAAUCUAGGACCUAGUACUGAAAGCUGGAGUAUCUGAAUAUAAAAAAUGAGUAAUUUUGAAAAAAGAUGUCUAUCAGGACUGUAAAUUCAGAGAGUAAAAAGUAGCUUUGCUUAAUAGACCAUCUCUCUCUCCAUCUCCCUCUAACUCAUUUUCUUAUUCUCUUUCUUCCUUAUGUGUUAUUGCAAAAAAAAAAGUGCAAAAUCUGAUAUUGAGAAUGCUUUAGCUUCAUUUCCACCUUCUAUUCUCAAAAUGUUUUGUUCCACUGGGAAGAUUUCCCCUGGGAGAUAACCUCAGCCACGACUGCAGGAGGCUCCUGGGGUGACUGAUUUGCAAGGGAGCAGCUGCAUUUUGAGGUGGCUCUGAGGCAGCCAGGUCCCCACUCUUCUGAGGCUCUUAAAGAUAUUUGUGAGCUGGCAUGAGAAAUCACCUGGGACUCAGAGCAGACCACAAGUGCUUAGGACAGUGUUUCCUCUGCACCUUUUCUUGCUGAGCAGAGCUGCAGCACUAUAAACAAAUGUGAGUUUUGCCUCAUUCUCAGGUCCUGUGAGUUAUGAAAGCCCACUCCAGAUGUAAUGAAUGUAUAGAUCAUUUUGACCAGAUCAUAAUCUAUUAGUAAAUAAUGCUCUCUGAAAAUGUAUAGGUGAAAUAAAGAACUUCUUGCUACUAUUGCUGUAUUGGUGUCAAGGAUUCAUGUGGAGACCAGCAUGAUCCUCAGGCUUUGUGCUACUGACAUUUAAAUACAAUGCAGAACUAACUACAGGGUUUGGCUAGUAAAUUCCCUUCUGGAUUAGGAUAUUCAGAAUUUACAGGAAUUUAUAAUAACUCAGGAUUUCUGCUGGAAACAGAACCCAAAAUUAUACAAGGCUUACCUAUGCCUUGGCUGCAGCUCAUUGACACUCAUAUUUAUAGAAUUUUUCCAUUAGAUUCCUAAUUUUGGUGGUGAUAUUAAUUAGCAAAUAACACAAUACAUUUCAUAAUGAGCAGAUAGGGCAAACCCCUAUAAUGCCUAUGACUUUUCUUUGCUAUCCCUGGAGGAAGCCCAAGGGUACCAGACUAAGACCUAAGGCAAAUUGUCAGCAGAGUCUAUAGGCCAUGGGAAGGUUAGGUUUAAAGAAGAUGUCACUUUAGGGACAUCUGUGUGACACAUGCUGCAGUGUCCAGACAUUGGAGACUAUGUUUUUGCUCUAAAUCUAGAGAGGAAGUCAAUAGGAAAAAAAAAAAAGGAAAGAAGCACGGGGGAAUAAAAGUACUUUUGAAAGAGAAGAAAUCUACAUUUCAAUGAAAAUCCUUUCAAGGCAUUUCAAAUAAGAGUCUGAGAGAAAUAAUUACAAAGUUUGGAGAGAAAGAACGUUAGCUUUGAUAUCUUUUUCUUCUAUGAAGCAAUUAAAAUAAGCAAUUUUUCAAAUACUAAGCAGAAAAUUACUAAUGGCUGAACCCAAAAGCUUUCAUUUCCUUCUUGGGGCCUUUAUUCUUCUAAAAAAAGACAAAAAAAAUGUGAAGGUGGUUUUCCAGAUAGAUUAAUGCAUAAAGCAGUCACUAGUUGGAUGUCAUAAAAACUACAGCAGCAUAGAAUAGCUGAGAUUAAGAGCUAGAUUUAAAUCAUGCAACAGUCCAGUUAAUAUCAAUGUCUAAUUAAGAAAUGCAUAAGAAGUCUGUAAUGUUGAUUUGAUGGAGAAAAACUCUAAUAGGGUUUCUUUUGGAAUUUUCCAUUUCAAUUGCUGUGUGGACUUUUAAUGGAUGUCCUAUCCAGUCUUUGGUAUUAGCAGGAAUCAUCCUCAAAUUAAAACCAAGGCCUAAAAUGGAACACAGGUAGACAAAUUAGCUGGUCUGGGAAGCAGCCUGGGUAGAAUGACAAUGUGAGAUGAAGCCGAAAUUUGAGUACAAACAAAAGAGAGCAAACGUCUCAAAUCUGGUGUGGAAACCCUCUCUGCAUCUCGUUUGAAACACUCUAAAACCCUGUAAUUUGAAACAAUGCAAUGUUAACCCAUUUCCCCACCUCCCUGAGCCUGCAGAAAUCCCUGACAAUUCAUACUUAGACACCUAGACCACUAAGCAUUAUUAAUUAGUCUUUUUUAUUUAAAAGGCUUUCCACAGUUAUGCAUAUUAGUAGUGUGUAGAGGUGGGUUCUUCUCUGCCUGUGAUGGGAUUUAGAGCACACAGGUCCCUGUCACCAUCAACGAGCACCAUUAAUCUCCCACUCCUCUCUGGGUAACUAAAUCUCUCAAACCCCUGGAGCAAAACUAAGCCUGUGGCGUCUUCUGUGUCCCAUGGAUCAUCCAAGAUGUUUGGUCUCUAGAUAUGAAAGGGGAACUGGUUUUGAGCACAUGACUAAUGCCCUGAAGUUGCUAAAAGAGGAGCAGUGUAACUCUUGGUAUGCAAAAGUCCACUUAGCAAAGAGGGAGAAAGCACAGUGCUGGGUUUAAGCAGCAGUGCAUUUGUUAUCAGCACUCUGUUGUUGAUCCAACAGAUCCAGAGGGAAUGAUCUCAAGGAUCCAGGAAAAUGGCAUACUCAGAAUAACCUCUCUGACCAAUGCAUGCUGGGGAGUAAUUUUAAAGUUCACUGGAACACAUUAAAAUAUAAUACAUUGGUCAUGGCAAAGCAAGGCAUGUGAUUCCAUCUGUCUACAUGUCUCUUUCCAGUACUAAAUCCAUCCAGAGACCUUCCAGAAUUAUAUCAUUAAGUCUUGUCACGUCCACAGAGAGUGGAAAAGACUGGAGAUGAAAAUCAGAGUAACAGUGAAAUUUUGGCACUUUUAUUUUUGGGUCAUUUCCUGAAAUGUCAUGGUCCAAAUUCAUGCCUGACAUUAUUCUGUUGACCCAUGAGGCACAAAUAUGUCAUAUUAAAGGGUGAUACCAUGGCCCUGGGGGGUGCCCCUAGGAUUUUCCUCCUUGAAAGAGGUGGGACCAAGGAUGCUCUUAGUGGGGCAUCUGACUUCUCAAUGGUACAGAAGGUCUGAUAUGAGGACACUCAGGCCAUCAGGGGAGUCUGGGUUUUUUUACCCUUCUCUUCAUAAUAAGACCAGGAGGUGCCAUGGGUUGGGAUGAUGCUAGAGGAUUGUCCAGGUGGAAUUCUAACAGGGUGCUUUGUCUGCAGCAUUUAUUAGACUUAUGCAAUACUUAGGGAAAGAACGAGAGUAUGAAGCAGGCUGUCCUUUGCAAAUACAUGCAAAAGAAAAAAAACCCAAACCUUAACUUGUCCAGCACACUUGAGAGCCACAAAUUUUGUUACAGUUUUGCUAAAUGAGAGGAAUAUUCCUCCCCUUCUCUAUAAAACCAUCCUUUUAGACAUUACUGCAGCCAUGACCUCACCGCAGUUCCUGGAUUCCUUCUGAAAAGAUUAAAAUGAACUAAUACACAAAUGAUCUCAUCACAGCGUAAAGGACACCUUACACAGGGGGGAAAAACUAAUCAGGAGAACUUCAGCACUACAUUUGUAGUAGAAAAAGAACUGUAACAGCACUGUGGAGAAACAAACUAAAGGUACAAUGCCAGAGAGGCAUUUUCCCAUCUAAUGAACCAUUUGGAUUUGUCCUACCUCAUCCUGCCUGUCACACCUGUCAUCCUCUUAGCUGUCUCCACAUCUAUCAUCUUUCCUUUUUUCCUGCCUUUAUCUACAAUUUCCUUUGUCUCUUCUGUGCCUUUCCCACCUGUUUUAAUAUUCCUGGUAACUUUGAAUUGUGUGCACUACUAUUCUCAGCUACAUCCAAAAUACAUUUUGCAGAGUACAUACAUACAGUCACCUUACACAAAAGUGUUCACACAUACUUAUAGUUUAUGUCAUUCUGGAUUAAGAACACCUUUUCUAUGUUUUCAUACAGUUCUCAGCCCAAGGGGUCAUGGAUGGUGACAACUCUCAUCUACUUUGGAGCUGUUUUAUCUUCUAAGAGAAAUCAGGAAGAUGAGUUGGGAGAGAUGCUUUACUUUCUUUGGUAGGACAAUCUAUAAAUUAACAUUUAUGUAAGUGAGACUCUCACCACAUUUUUAAAGUUGUGUCACAUUUUGAGGCUAGAAAAUAUAAUGUCUUGGAACUAGGUGAUCUUGAAAGUCUUUUUCAACCCAAGCUUUCCUAUGAUUCCACGAUCUUCAGAACAAGAUGAAUAUAUUGUUAAUAAUGCAGCCUUAUCUGUCCUGCCCAUAGGUGCUCCUCAGCUCUCCCUUGAGGUGACACCGUUAAGCAAGAGGUGACAAACCGGUUCCUUUCUCAAGGAAGUGUCACCUAACUGCCCGGGGCCUGUUUUGGUGGGGGUUGCACCCUGAUUUUCAAGGAGAGAUGUGCUGCUGUGGCCCCUUCCCACCCUGGCAGGAGGAGCUGAAGCUGCUCAUUCAGUUGUGACAUUUCUCAGGCAGGAAGAAAGGCAGAAGGCAUCAGGCUGUAGGGAGGGAUCAGGGCAGCCACCUUUGGACACUGGCAAAGAAACCUCCAGAACUCAUCCAGAGGAGAUGAGCUCUCAGGACUAGAGCGUGCUGGUAAAAAGGAUGGUGGUACCUUUCUAUCCACCCAACAAGAUUUGCUACUCCUAAAUGGGGAAGCAAACACAUCCAACCCCAAAUGCUCUCCAGCUGAUAGACCUGCUUCAGUGAAGAGAGCCCUGAGCAGUGAUGAGUGUUGUAGGAUAUGUGCUGCAGCAUUAGGAAAGUCCAAACAGCCCAAGGAGCAGUGCAGAGCAUCUGUCAAGAAAAUAGCAUGUGAAAAGCUGCUGUAAUUCCUGUCCCCACCAGCCUAACUGGAGGCACAGACUUCCCAAGGCCUGGAGGACUUGGAGAGCUCAGGAUCCUCAGUGAGAUUCCUCCCCAAGCCCUGCAGAUUUACCAGGUCAGCUCAGUCCAGGCCAAAGUUGCUGGGAAAGGUCCUUGGCUGUACUCCAAGUUCAGUGCUCUAUUGAUUGGAAGAGGUAUUUAUUGUAGGUCAGGGUCUUGAGCCAAGACAGCUGAAGUUGCAAGGACUAAAUUGUCUAUUCCUGACCCACAGAUAAAACAAAUGGCCAGUUUUAGCCUAAUCAUCACUUCUGCCUGAGGAAAGAGAAACUCUUUGAGGUAAGUUCCCUUGGAUAUAAUUCUUUCUUUCUAGGUUGUAGAAGGGCUGCAGCUCAUACAUAUCCUGAGUCAUAAUGUGGAUUUGCACCUUUCCUGUUAAAUAUAGCUGGCUUAUGUCCAAAGGAUCCCUUCUCUCCCUAAUGCUCACUCAUAUUGUUACAACUUCUACAUUAGUUGCAGGUGUGAAAUGCCAACUGAUCCACACUUCUGGUGCUGUCAGCAGGGGAGUAAUGUGUGUCAAAGGCCUGCUUCUCAGAGGGGAGGUCACCCGGAUCUCCAUUUGCACAUCUGCUUUGCUAAACACAAAACUCUGGAGGUUUGGAAAGCUCCAGUGUGCACAAAGUGGGAUGUGAUCACUGGGGGCUGUACAGAAGGAGCUGCUCGUGCCUGUCAUUUAGUAGGCAGGACACAGAACUUUCCCUCUGUACAAAAUUCUUCCUGCAUUGCUACAGGUAACAUUUUACUUGUAAGUUCUAUAUUAAUAAGGGGGAAAAAAUACACUUCUCUGCAUUCCACAAGCAGACAGGAUACCAAGAGAUUAAAAAAGAGCCUCACACAUUAAGCAGCUUCAGAAAGAUGCUAAUAUUCAGCACGUUCCUGCUUGGAAUGUGCAGACAUGACGAUCAGGGAAGUGCCUGAUCAGAGCUGCUGGAGCCUGCCUUGCACAGAGGCAUCCUGGUCUGGUUCUGAGGGCUUCCAGAGGAGCUUUCAAAUGUUUCUAUUCCCUGCUGUUAGUGGAUUUUUUCCAUACCUUGGAAUAAGUCUUCUGAUGGUAAUGUGUUUGCAGUUGAUGCUGAGAUAAUAGUUCUUGCUCAGGGGACCUCUAAUACACAGUAUUUUAUGCUUUCUACAUUUUAUAUGAUAUCAAAAACUCCUCCUAUAUGUACAUAUAUGCCUAAUUCUUUCUUGAGUUCUGCUAGAAUCUAGAAUAUCCUCCAGUAUCUGCCAUAAGGAUGCUCACACAUAAUCUAUACAGAAUAUUUUUUGGUCUUAAUAUGUUUGGCCUUUAAAUGCCAUAUAUUUAUGACAUCAUGAUUCUGGUUACUCUGCACUUACAGGACAUUUUAAACACAUGCAUUCAUGGAUCAUUCACCAUUAUGCAUUGCAUUUUUUCCUCUCUCAGUUGACUAUUUCCAAAAUUUUUUGGGGGAUAGUGAAACUUAUAUUGGCCUUUUUAUCCAAAAUCAGAAAAUAGGGACUUGGUCAUCAGCUGUAUGCUGAUGUUCCAUGGUUAUAACAUCACAUUACAUGGAAUUUAGAUCUUGCAUCCUCACAGUAACUUAGCCAGAACUAAAGAAAAGUGAUUUCUAAAGUCCAAAUUAUACUGGGGAGAGCCAUGAGCUGAACAAAUAGGUCAGAGCAUGUUUCAUGAACUGAAAUGCCAGCCCUGAGCCUCGGCUGCUCAUAAUGGACAUGUCCUUAAGGGAGCUGAUGAGAAUAAUUUUCACAAGAAUCAGAAGAAAAUAAUUUUCACAAGAAUCACUUUUAAUGCUGAGGAAGGAGAGCACUUGUGUUUUAAAGAAAAGUUUGAUUCUGGCAGAGGGUCUCUGUUGGUGAGUUAGAGGAGCUGUGCUGUAGAAGACAGAGUGGCUGCUUGGCUCUCAUGGAAGCCUCUGUUGAAUUCAGGCCUUUCCCCUGAAAUUUACACCAGAAAUUCAGAAAUUUUAUCUUUGAUCAGAACAGCUUCAUUGCCUUCCUGAAUAAUAGGAAUGACAUGGGUUUCCCUGGGCUGUAUGUUAUGGACAUGACAGAAAUGGAGAAAGGGAUACUGAUUUUCUUGGAAUGAAAUACAGAAAAUUUGAGCUUGGAAAACAUUUGAGUAUAAUGUGCUGAGAGUUUAAAGAAAUAUUUUUAAAGAAACAUUUUUCUAGAGCAUGCCUGUUAGUUUUAUGUUCAUUUUAGCCAUGUAUAAUUAUGAGAAACACAGACAACUCAUAAGAUUUUUUAGUUUCUGUUGAGAAUUGCCUUUUCCAAGAUAAUUCUGUACACUAUUACUUCAGCCCACUGGGUAUCAUGUAGGGAAGGUGCAAGAUUAUGCACAUGAAUAUUUCUGUCUACCACUUAGGCGUGCUGAGACAAUAUCAACUUAUACUUUCUCCUGUCAUUGGUCCUUAUUCCAUAGAGGAUAUUCUUAAUUACCAGCAAGACAAUUUGGUAAUAUCAUGUAAAGUGUAACAGCAUAAUUUCUGUGAUGAUUUACACCUGCUAAGGAUCUGAAUACUGAAUUUUAAAACAUAGUUUAAGUUCAGAAGAAAGAGUAUUUUUUCUACAAGACACUAUUUCUAUUUUUAAUAGAAAUUAUCUCAUUUAUUUAAUUUAUUGGCACUGUUCUUCUGAAUGAAAUGGAGCUUUUGAACGUGAAGACACAAUUUUUACAUAUUUUCACUGCCCUGAAAAAUUUAGAGCACACUUCUGUACUGGAUUAAAUCAACUUGAGUCUAAAAGCCUAAACACUAUUUUUGACAACUGUGCAUGAGGGACGUGCCUGUACAGGGAUUCUAAAGAAUAAAAAACCUAAAAAUAUCUCAGUUACAAAGAAAAUUCCCUGUAUUCCUUCUUACACUUCGUAAUAGUGGUUAUAUAUAUAUAUCUUUUUUAACCCUCACAGGUUUAUCUCUAAUUCUGUUGGAAACGAUUGAAAUGAUUCCAUUGACUUUAGCAAACUCUGUUUCCUGCUGGAUUAAAGGCAAUAUUUGUGUAUCAGAUUUGCUGGUGAUGUCCCACUAAUGAAACAGGUAAUUUUAUAAACAUGUCAGGGAGGGUAAGUGCCCAAUAAAAAGAUGUCAGAUAGAGAUGCACAAAUUACACUCUAUUUGUAAUGGAAAUAAAACCAGGAAUUCUUACUGUGAGUCAUGAAUUUCUUUAUAAUUGCUUCCACAUUUGGGACAAUUUUUCCCUGGGUUGUCUACAGAAACCCUGCAAUUCUUGGGGCUUCUGAUGGCACUUAUGAUCACAACAACACAUCUAAUUUCUGAUAAAAAUUACUUACUUUGGGAAGGAUUGUUUUUUUCUCAAAUUGAUUUUCUGAGUCUUUAUCUACAACUAUUUUCUUAUCCUCCUCCUCAUUUUCUAUUUCUAAUACAAAAACAAGAGUCCUUAUCAAUUUAGAAGAGCAAUAAAACUAAAGAAAAUUCAGACAGAACUGUAAAGCACAGUCUAUUUUAAAGUUCCAACUCAAAUAAUAAGACUCUGGUUUGUACUGCACCUCACUCAUGGACUCAGUUUUCCAUAGUGCAUUCAGUGUUGUAAUAAUGCAAAUCAAAUACAAUUUUAAUAACUCCUUCCAUUAAUGUUUUAAGACUGCAACACUUAUGAGCAUGAUUCUAAUUGCAUGAUUUUGCUACAGGCAAGUUUUAUAGAUCUGUCUGAUCUUUGGAUAUUUGCACCGUUUGGAUUAUUUUAAAUAAUUAAUUUUUGGAAGAAUUUCAGUCUCGGUAACAACAGUUGGGUUUGAUAGUGGUUGUCUUGUCAGUAAUUGUAUGUAUCUGCUUCCAUGCCAGGAUAAACUAGAUAAAUUUAGAACUCUUUGGGAGGAGGGGGCUGAGGUUUAUACCAUAGCAAAUGUUAUGGAGAAUGUUCUUAGGAGGGGAAUAUUUAUAGACUAUGUUAAUACCAGGAGCAAAAGAGGUUUCAAGUGAAUAAAAUUUUGUCAUGCAGCAAAAUUAGUUAAUUAAAUUGCAGGACUUUCUGCCAAAAGAAUACCAAAAACAUAAUCAACUUAAAAUACCAUUAAACAUUUUUUUUUAAUGC